CAACGAUGACUCUUCCUAUCAUUGCGAUGCGUCCGUUGCAAAAGCGUCGGAUUUUUCGUUCGCUAAUAUCGAACUGAGCUGGGUUUAGACCGUCGUGAAACAGCUU
rnacentral:ncRNA from 1 species